UACGUAGGGUGCGAGCGUUGCCCGGAUUUAUUGGGCGUAAAGGGCGCGUAGGCGGCUCGGCACGUCCGUUGUGAAAUCGCUCGGCUCAACUGGGCGAGGUCAGCGGAUACGGUCGAGCUUGAGCCAGCUAGGGGGCAAUGGAAUUCCCGGUGUAGUGGUGGAAUGCGUAGAGAUCCGGAAGAACACCGGUGGCGAAGGCGGCCUGCUGGGCAGUAGCUGACGCUGAUGCGCGACAGCGUGGGGAGCAAACAGG
rnacentral:rRNA from 1 species